rnacentral:rRNA from 1 species
GAUGAACGCUGGCGGCGUGCCUAACACAUGCAAGUCGAGCGAUCUUCUUCGGAAGAGAGCGGCGGACGGGUGAGUAACGCGUGGGUAACCUGCCUCAUACACAUGGAUAACAUACCGAAAGGUAUGCUAAUACAAGAUGAUAUAAGAGAUUCGCAUGCAUUUCUUAUCAAAGGUCAGGCGGUAUGAUAUGCACACGCGUUUAGUUAGAUAGUUGGUAAGGUACCGGCUUACCAAGGCGACGAUCAGGAGCCGACCUGAGAAGGUGCUCGGCCACAUUGGAACUGAGAACCGGUCCAAACUCCUACGGGAGGCAGCAGUGGGGAAUAUUGCACAAUGGGCGAAAGCCUGAUGCAGCAACGCCGCGUGAGCGAUGAAGGCCUUCGGGUCGUAAAGCUCUGUCCUCAAGGAAGAUAAUGACGGUACUUGAGGAGGAAGCCCCGGCUAACUACGUGCCAGCCGCCGCGGUAACAC